UACAGAGGGGGCAAGCGUUGUUCGGAAUUACUGGGCGUAAAGGGCGCGUAGGCGGCCUGUUAAGUCGAACGUGAAAUCCCGAGGCUCAACCUCGGGUCUGCAUCCGAUACUGCCCGGCUAGAGGUAGGUAGGGGAGAUCGGAAUUCCUGGUGUAGCGGUGAAAUGCGCAGAUAUCAGGAGGAACACCGGUGGCGAAGGCGGAUCUCUGGGCCUUACCUGACGCUCAGGCGCGAAAGCUAGGGGAGCGAACUGG
rnacentral:rRNA from 1 species